AAAAAACGAAAAAAAA
rnacentral:sRNA from 1 species